GCGGCGGACGGGUGAGUAACACGUGGGCAACCUGCCUGUAAGACUGGGAUAACUUCGGGAAACCGAAGCUAAUACCGGAUAGGAUCUUCUCCUUCAUGGGAGAUGAUUGAAAGAUGGUUUCGGCUAUCACUUACAGAUGGGCCCGCGGUGCAUUAGCUAGUUGGUGAGGUAACGGCUCACCAAGGCAACGAUGCAUAGCCGACCUGAGAGGGUGAUCGGCCACACUGGGACUGAGACACGGCCCAGACUCCUACGGGAGGCAGCAGUAGGGAAUCUUCCGCAAUGGACGAAAGUCUGACGGAGCAACGCCGCGUGAGUGAUGAAGGCUUUCGGGUCGUAAAACUCUGUUGUUAGGGAAGAACAAGUACGAGAGUAACUGCUUGUACCUUGACGGUACCUAACCAGAAAGCCACGGCUAACUACGUGCCAGCAGCCGCGGUAAUACGUAGGUGGCAAGCGUUAUCCGGAAUUAUUGGGCGUAAAGCGCGCGCAGGCGGUUUCUUAAGUCUGAUGUGAAAGCCCACGGCUCAACCGUGGAGGGUCAUUGGAAACUGGGGAACUUGAGUGCAGAAGAGAAAGCGG
rnacentral:rRNA from 2 species